UACGUAGGGUGCGAGCGUUAAUCGGAAUUACUGGGCGUAAAGCGUGCGCAGGCGGAUUGUUAAGCAAGAUGUGAAAUCCCCGGGCUUAACCUGGGAACUGCAUUUGAAACUAGGUCGCUAGAGUAUGGCAGAGGGGGGUAGAAUUCCACGUGUAGCAGUGAAAUGCGUAGAGAUGUGGAGGAAUACCGAUGGCGAAGGCAGCCCCCUGGGUCAAUACUGACGCUCAUGC
rnacentral:rRNA from 1 species